rnacentral:rRNA from 1 species
CUUCGGGAUGCCGGCGAGCGGCGGACGGGUGAGUAAUGCAUGGGAAUCUGCCCGGUAGUGGGGGAUAACUCGGGGAAACCCGAGCUAAUACCGCAUACGUCCUACGGGAGAAAGCAGGGGAUCUUCGGACCUUGCGCUAUCGGAUGAGCCCAUGUCGGAUUAGCUUGUUGGUGAGGUAACGGCUCACCAAGGCAACGAUCCGUAGCUGGUCUGAGAGGAUGAUCAGCCACACCGGGACUGAGACACGGCCCGGACUCCUACGGGAGGCAGCAGUGGGGAAUAUUGGACAAUGGGGGAAACCCUGAUCCAGCCAUGCCGCGUGUGUGAAGAAGGCCCUAGGGUUGUAAAGCACUUUCAGUGGGGAAGAAGGCAUGACGAUUAAUACCCGUCAUGAAGGACAUCACCCACAGAAGAAGCACCGGCUAACUCCGUGCCAGCAGCCGCGGUAAUACGGAGGGUGCAAGCGUUAAUCGGAAUUACUGGGCGUAAAGGGCGCGUAGGCGGCUUGCCAAGCCGGAUGUGAAAGCCCCGGGCUCAACCCGGGAACGGCAUUCGGAACUGGCAGGCUAGAGUGCAGGAGAGGAAGGUGGAAUUCCCGGUGUAGCGGUGAAAUGCGUAGAGAUCGGGAGGAAUACCAGUGGCGAAGGCGGCCUUCUGGACUGACACUGACGCUGAGGCGCGAAAGCGUGGGUAGCAAACAGGAUUAGAUACCCUGGUAGUCCACGCCGUAAACGAUGUCGACCAGCCGUUGGACCCCUUGAGGGUUUGGUGGCGCAGUUAACGCAAUAAGUCGACCGCCUGGGGAGUACGGCCGCAAGGCUAAAACUCAAAUGAAUUGACGGGGGCCCGCACAAGCGGUGGAGCAUGUGGUUUAAUUCGAUGCAACGCGAGAACCUUACCUGCUCUUGACAUCCUGCGAAUCUCCCAGAGAUGGGAGAGUGCCUUCGGGACGCAGAGACAGGUGCUGCAUGGCUGUCGUCAGCUCGUGUUGUGAAAUGUUGGGUUAAGUCCC